GUGCGACGGCUCAUUUUAGCGUAGAGCUCGAACGACACAGCGCAACUGUUUUUCGUUAGCGGUGAAAGUCAAAGCAACGCGUCCAUCAAGAGCGCGAAGCACACACGCACAUCUAAGCAUACGUACAAAGUAGUGUCCGACCCAUGCCCCUCUGCAAGACGUUUUCGCAGUCGGAGCGGGAGAAGCUCCGAAAGGAUCGUAAUGUACUGCCGCCGUUGAGCGACGGUCCGUUUGGGCCGUUCCCGAAAAAAUGGAACCCGCGGGGGCGCGAUGCGGCAAAGGCAACUGUGAGUACCAGCGUCAGCGUUUUGAUGGCCAAGAACAAAGCCGCCGCCGGGCAACCGGCCGCUGCGGCUGCGCCGAAGGCAGCGCAAGCUGACAUUCUCAUCGGCCACACAGGCACGGGCGGGAUGACGGUGAGCACCUUCAAAGGCACCGGCGGUGCGGACACGUCCCUAAGCAACGGGCGCUUCGGCGACCCGGCCGGCCCUGGCAAAGCUGGCGCCUACUCGAAGCAGCGCAUGCCACCAACAGACUUUCGUCACCACUACGAGCGCAGCGACUUGCCACUGUCCAUUCAGCACGGCGCGAAGCGCUCGCUUCUCUGGAAGGUGGACGUGUCAAAGCUGGACUACCACCACUAUCUGCCCAUCUUCUUCGAUGGCCUGCGCGAGCUGGAGGAGCCCUUCAGCUUUGUGGCGUACCAGGGCAGCAUGGACCUCCUUGAGGGCGGCGGCGCCAAGAUCCUGCCGACGGUGCCGCAGCUCAUCGUGCCGCUCAAGACGGCACUGAACAGUCGUCACCCCGACGUGCUGCGCAAGGUCUUUCACGUGAUCCAGAAGCUAGUAGUGAGUAGCGAUCACAUUGGCGAAGCGCUUGUGCCAUACUACAGGCAACUGUUGCCGGUGUUCAACAUGUUUAAGAACCGCACCAAGAGUAUGGGCGAUCGCAUGGACUACGGGCAGCGCAAAAGCCACGACCUCAGCAGUCUCAUCAACGACACCCUGUACCUGCUAGAGCGCUACGGCGGCCCCGACGCGUACAUCAACAUCAAGUACAUGGUUCCCACGUACGAGUCCUGCAUGUGAACUUGGCGGCACGUGGGGCACAGGUGGCACAGCCUGAUGUAAAAAAAAGCGGCGCGUCUUCCUUUUCCCCUUCACCAAGCCAACGUCGGAUCGUUUCUUUUUCUUUUUGCUGGUUUGCUUUUCCUAGACGAUGUACCACGGUG
rnacentral:misc_RNA from 1 species